AACGAACGCUGGCGGCAUGCCUAACACAUGCAAGUCGAACGAGACCUUCGGGUCUAGUGGCGCACGGGUGCGUAACGCGUGAGAACCUGCCCUUAGGUUCGGAAUAACUCCCCGAAAGGGGUGCUAAUACCGGAUAAUGUCUUCGGACCAAAGAUUUAUCGCCUUUGGAUGGGCCCGCGUUGGAUUAGCUAGUUGGUAGGGUAAAAGCCUACCAAGGCGACGAUCCAUAGCUGGUCUGAGAGGAUGAUCAGCCACACUGGGACUGAGACACGGCCCAGACUCCUACGGGAGGCAGGAGUGGGGAAUAUUGGACAAUGGGCGAAAGCCUGAUCCAGCAAUGCCGCGUGAGUGAUGAAGGCCUUAGGGUUGUAAAGCUCUUUUAACCGGGAUGAUAAUGACAGUACCGGGAGAAUAAGCUCCGGCUAACUCCGUG
rnacentral:rRNA from 1 species